UAAUCCAGCCCAACCAACGAAACGCAACACAACACAACCCUAUCCAUCCAAUCGCCCCCCUCCAAACCUGUCGCCGCCGCCGCCGACCUCCUCUCCUCCAUUCCCGUCGGCGACCUCGUCUCUUCCAGCCCCACCGACGACCUCCAGCUCCGCCCUGCACCCCGCCACCUUCUCCUUCUCCUCCUAGGAGGGAGGCCCCAGAUCAACAGGCCACGGCAACCACCGGCACCGCGUCCUCUUCCUUCCACCCCCACCUAGCCGCCCUCCUCCUCCCCUGGAUCCGGCGUCGACAGCUCCCUCGUACGCGUGAUGGCAAAGAGAGGGGAUGCGCGCUGGCGUGGCGAGGCGGUCGCCGUACACGAAGAGGCAGAUGAGCUACACCAGCAGCAGAUGUGGAUCCCCCACACACCCACCCCCACCCCCACAAUUUAUUCGAUUCAAUUUUUCUCCUCGCUGAUUGUCCAAAAUCAGGGGCCAAGCGUGAGGGUGCAGCAGAAUUUUUCUACACCUCAUCUUCUUGUUUUUUUAAGUUCAUAGAACCUUUCCCAUGCGGGGGCAUUUUGGGGGGUAUUUUUUCAGGAAAAGCGGAUGAGGAACAGCUGACAAUUGGUUUGGACUUCCAUGGAACAUUGUGGCAGGCAAAUUUGGACACCCAUGUGAGGAGGGGGAUGCCUUUGAUCUGCACGGCAGGAUACAGAAGAUGGGAGGAGGAGACGCAACCCCAUCCAGAGGGGGGCCUGGAGGAGCUCCAGGACUGAACUCCUGCCUCGUACAAGUGUUUGGAGCAGCCAUUAACUUCCAUCAGGGAUUAAGCUUGGCAACAAAAAAGGAAGGAAGAAAGAAAUACCCAUUUUUCACCAUGGAAGGAGGGAGGGACGUCUUGAUCUUAAGUGACUCACUGGAAGCAACUGAGGGAG